rnacentral:rRNA from 1 species
CGCGUAGGCGGCCAUCUUUGUCAGGCGUGAAAGCCCUGGGCUCAACCUGGGAGGUGCGCUUGGGACGGGGUGGCUAGAGAUCGGGAGAGGAGAGUGGAAUUCCCAGUGUAGAGGUGAAAUUCGUAGAUAUUGGGAAGAACACCGGUGGCGAAGGCGGCUCUCUGGACCGAUACUGACGCUGAGGCGCGAAAGCGUGGGGAGCAAACAGGAUUAGAUACCCUGGUAGUCCACGCUGUAAACGAUGUGUGCUAGACGUUGGGGAGCCUAGCUCUUCGGUGUCGCAGCUAACGCUUUAAGCACACCGCCUGGGGAGUACGGCCGCAAGGUUAAA